GACGAACGCUGGCGGCGUGCCUAAUACAUGCAAGUAGAACGCACAGUUUAUACCGUAGCUUGCUACACCAUAGACUGUGAGUUGCGAACGGGUGAGUAACGCGUAGGUAACCUGCCUGGUAGCGGGGGAUAACUAUUGGAAACGAUAGCUAAUACCGCAUAAUAUUAAUUAUUGCAUGAUAAUUAAUUGAAAGGUGCAAUUGCACCACUACCAGAUGGACCUGCGUUGUAUUAGCUAGUAGGUGAGGUAACGGCUCACCUAGGCGACGAUACAUAGCCGACCUGGGAGGGUGAUCGGCCACACUGGGACUGCGACACGGCCCAGACUCCUACGGGAGGCAGCCGUAGGGAAUCUUCGGCAAUGGACGAAAGUCUGACCGAGCAACGCCGCGUGAGUGAAGAAGGUUUUCGGAUCGUAAAGCUCUGUUGUAAGAGAAGAACGGGUGUGAGAGUGGAAAGUUCACACUGUGACGGUAUCUUACCAGAAAGGGACGGCUAACUACGUG
rnacentral:rRNA from 1 species